rnacentral:rRNA from 1 species
GAUGAACGCUGGCGGCAUGCCUAAUACAUGCAAGUCGAGCGAACGGACGAGAAGCUUGCGGCGCUGGUGUGAGCGGCGGACGGGUGAGUAACACGUGGAGAACCUACCUAGAAGGCUGGGAUAACUUCGGCAAACCAGAGCGAGUACCGAAUAAUAGUUUGAACCGGAGGGGGCGAAAGUGAAAGACGGUCUUGCUGGCGCGUAAAUAGGGAACCGCGCUGCAUUAGCUAGUUGGGAAGGAAAGGGCUUACCAAGGCAACGAUGCAUAGCCGACCUGAGGGAGUGAUCGGACACACUGGAACUGAGACACGGUCCAGACUCCUACGGGGGGCCGCAGUAGGGAAUAUUCCGCAAUGGGCGAAAGCAUGACGGAGCAAUGGGGCGUGAGUGAUGAAGGUAUUCGGAUCGUAAAGCUCUGUUACUAGGGGAGAAGAUCUGUGUAUGUAACUGUGCACAUAUUGACGGUACCUGAUCAGAAAGCCACGGCUAACUACGUG